AGUUGAAGCGAGUAUUCUGUUUGAGCACAAGUGUGCUGUGAAGUGGACUUCAAAGGGUAUUCCACCUUCUUAGGGGAGAUUCCAAGCUGAAGCUGGGUGUUGCGAAUGAACACAUUUUGUCAAAUGAAGUGAACUUCAGCAGAUAUCCCAUUCUCAGGGAGUAAGGAGCUGUGAACACUGUCAAUUGGGAGUUCAUGAAGCUCUCUUCUAACAAGCUGAUGACCUGAAUCAGACGCUUGCUGUGCUGCAUCCAGACGCUCAGGCCAAGUAAGAGCUUUCGCUGGAGGACUGUGGCCGUGGGGGAUUUUUUUGCAUGCUGUCCAGAGGCUGUAAAUAUCAGCAGAGCAAGUGUGGUUUAUUUACUCUGGCUGAGACCUCAGCAGCUCAAACCCAGAGACACAGAAAGAGGCUCUGAUAAUCCCACUACUCUGGAACAUUUGUCUCUGUGACUGAGGUUUUGGUUUCUAGAUCCAGCCCUAGAGGAACAGAGAUAGAGAUGAGCAAUGAUAGCAUGAUGAAUCUGGACUGUCUCUCUGCGUCCUGAGGAGACACGUGACUGACAGCAAACUCACAGCUGUGAAUAGAGCUGGUUGAGAUGGAGAAACCAAGAGUUCAGAGUCCAGAGAGACUGCCUUAUGUCAUCUCACCUGUGUAU